CAAGGAAACUUCUAGGCAGGGUUCUCCUCUAUCACCACUUCCCUAUCCUUUAUUAGUAAACCCUAUUUUACGUUUCUCUUCAAUUGCUCUCUUCAUCGUAUUGCAGAUUGCUCUGCUUCGUCCGAUCUAUAAGGUGGUGUGCCUUCUGUAGAGUUUCGAAGUUGUAUUGGUCUAAGUGAAACUUCUUUUAUGUCCGAACAAGCCAUCUUGUAUUUGGGAUCCAUUGGAUUGCUUGGAGAGUAUUGUCCUACGUCAAAGAAAAAGAACCGUUAUUUCUCAGGUUGGGUUGACUGUAUGCAUCUCAAACCAUUAAAGGAAGAGCAUUACGACUAUUCUGGUUGCUGGAAGGCACAAUCGGCACUUUGCAAUUGUUCUGCUGAAAAAUUCUCUGAACAUACGUAACACUUCAUCCAGAAAUUUCUUACCGAGUCAAAGAUGGCUUUGCAAAACAUAGGUGCCAGCAACAGCGAUGAUGCCUUCUACAGGUAUAAGAUGCCCAGGAUGCUUACCAAGAUUGAGGGCCGUGGAAAUGGUAUCAAGACAAAUGUGGUGAACAUGGUUGAUAUUGCCAAAGCAUUAGCAAGGCCCCCGUCCUACACAACAAAAUAUUUUGGAAAUGAGCUUGGGGCUCAGUCGAA
rnacentral:misc_RNA from 1 species